rnacentral:lncRNA from 1 species
GAUCCCACAUCCCGUCGGCUUUCUUCAACCUCUCUUCCCGGAGCGCCCCCCAAUCCACGAGUGGCAGCCGCGGGACUGUCGCGUCGGCGCCCGACGCCGGAGUCAGCAGGGCGCAAAAGCGCCGGUAGAUCAUGGCAACCAUAGAAGAAAUUGCACAUCAAAUUAUUGAACAACAGAUGGGAGAGGUAUGUCUAGUUUACGGUUGAUGCACUGGCCCACCAAACUUUUCUAAUUCCUACUAAAUGCAUAUACCAGGUUCUGGAGUUCCAGAAAUAAAAGAUAUUCCCUAACUUAAGAUAGCUUUUCAAGCUACUGAGAGAUAGUUGAAUAAUCAGACAAUUCAUAGUAGAAUGUGGUAAGUUCUGUGACAGGUCAUUGUAUCAGGUGCAAUGGGAGCACAGAAGAAAAUUGAAAGGAAUGAAGGGAAGGAAGGAAGGAAAGAAAUUAAAGAGCUGUAGAGUGAGUAGGAAUGCUUUUGAGGGAAUUCUUUUUAGAGGGUACAAUCUGAGCCUAGUUUUGGUGGGAUCAGUAGGAGUUCAGCAUCAAUACUGACAUCUUCAUUUUUUUAAAUGGUUGUGUCCUAUUACU